UAGCCGAUCUGAGAGGAUGACCGGCCACAUUGGGACUGAGACACGGCCCAAACUCCUACGGGAGGCAGCAGUGGGGGAUAUUGCACAAUGGAGGAAACUCUGAUGCAGCGACGCCGCGUGAGUGAAGAAGUAUUUCGGUAUGUAAAGCUCUAUCAGCAGGGAAGAAAAUGACGGUACCUGACUAAGAAGCCCCGGCUAACUACGUGCCAGCAGCCGCGGUAAUACGUAGGGGGCAAGCGUUAUCCGGAUUUACUGGGUGUAAAGGGAGCGUAGACGGAAUGGCAAGUCUGAAGUGAAAACCCCGGGCUCAACCUGGGGACUGCUUUGGAAACUGUUGUUCUAGAGUGUUGGAGAGGUAAGUGGAAUUCCUGGUGUAGCGGUGAAAUGCGUAGAUAUCAGGAAGAACACCGGAGGCGAAGGCGGCUUACUGGACAAUAACUGACGUUGAGGCUCGAAAGCGUGGGGAUCAAACAGGAUUAGAUACCCUGGUAGUCCACGCUGUAAACGAUGAAUACUAGGUGUCGGGGAGCAAAGCUUCUCGGUGCCGUCGCAAACGCAAUAAGUAUUCCACCUGGGGAGUACGUUCGCAAGAAUGAAACUCAAAGGAAUUGACGGGGACCCGCACAAGCGGUGGAGCAUGUGGUUUAAUUCGAAGCAACGCGAAGAACCUUACCAAAUCUUGACAUCCUUCUGACCGCACCGUAAUGGGUGCUUUCCUUCGGGACAGGAGUGACAGGUGGUGCAUGGUUGUCGUCAGCUCGUGUCGUGAGAUGUUGGGUUAAGUCC
rnacentral:rRNA from 1 species